AUUGAACGCUGGCGGCAUGCCUUACACAUGCAAGUCGAACGGUAACAGGUCUUCGGAUGCUGACGAGUGGCGAACGGGGGAGUAAUACAUCGGAACGUGCCCGAUCGUGGGGGAUAACGCAGCGAAAGCUGUGCUAAUACCGCAUACGAUCUACGGAUGAAAGCGGGGGAUCGCAAGACCUCUCGCGGACGGAGCGGCCGAUGGCAGAUUAGGUAGUUGGUGGGAUAAAAGCUUACCAAGCCGACGAUCUGUAGCUGGUCUGAGAGGACGACCAGCAACACUGGGACUGAGACACGGCCCAGACUCCUACGGGAGGCAGCAGUGGGGAAUUUUGGACAAUGGGCGAAAGCCUGAUCCAGCCAUGCCGCGUGCAGGAUGAAGGCCUUCGGGUUGUAAACUGCUUUUGUACGGAACGAAAAAGUUCUCUCUAAUACAGGGGGCGAAUGACGGUACCGUAAGAAUAAGCACCGGCUAACUACGUGCCAGCCGCCGCCGUAACAC
rnacentral:rRNA from 1 species